AUUGAACGCUGGCGGCAGGCCUAACACAUGCAAGUCGAGCGGAUGAAGGGAGCUUGCUCCUGGAUUCAGCGGCGGACGGGUGAGUAAUGCCUAGGAAUCUGCCUGGUAGUUGGGGAUAACGUCCGUAAACGGGCGCUAAUACCGCAUACGUCCUUAGGGAGAAAGUGGGGGAUCUUCGGACCUCACGCUAUCAGCUGAGCCUAGGUCGGAUUAGCUAGUUGGUGGGGUAAAGGCCUACCAAGGCGACGAUCCGUAACUGGUCUGAGAGGAUGAUCAGUCACACUGGAACUGAGACACGGUCCAGACUCCUACGGGAGGCAGCAGUGGGGAAUAUUGGACAAUGGGCGAAAGCCUGAUCCAGCCAUGCCGCGUGUGUGAAGAAGGUCUUCGGAUUGUAAAGCACUGUAAGUUGGGAGGAAGAGCAGUAAGUUAAAACCUUGAUGUUUUGACGGUACCAACAGAAUAAGCACCGGCUAACUUCGUG
rnacentral:rRNA from 1 species